UUAAUUGACUACAUUUUGCAUAAUAAUCCAUCACAAUAACGCUUUUGGCGUAGAUUAGGAUUAAGAAGGGCUAGUAGGUUAUUCCACGCAAAUUCUUGUAUUACGUUCAGCUCAUCCCUAUUGAGUCAACAAUGAAGUAGGUGUGAGGAUCGAACUCACGUCUCUUCACAGAGACCAGAACUUAAGUCUGGCGCCUUAACCACUCGGCCAACCUGGUGAUAUUUAAUUGACUAUAGCCUACUUUGCAUAAUUAUAUAUUACAAUAAAGCACUUUGUGUAGAUCUGGAUUAAGAAGCGCAAGCAAAUUCAUGUGUUACGUACUGUUCAUCCCUGUUGAGUCAAUAAUGAAAUAGUUUGUACCAGGUGUGAGGAUCGAACUCACGUCUCUUUACAGAGACCAGAACUUAAAUCUGGCGCCUUAACCACUCGGCCAACCUGAUCUGGAUUAGGAAGCGCAAGCAAAUUCAUGAGUUACGUACCGUUCAUCCCUGUUGAGUCAAUAAGGAAAUAGGUGUGAGGAUCGAACUCACGUCUCUUUACAGAGACCAGAACUUAAGUCUGGCGCCUUAACCACUCGGCCAACCUGGUAGGUAUAUCGUCAUGACAUCCUAGCGAAUUUGUUUAUCAGUCCAUCUUAAAUGUUAAGAAAUUACGUUAGGGCUAUUUUCAAUUAGAUUAAUACAUUUGAUUGUAAUUUGCCGUGAACAUUCCAGAGCAAAAUGGCUGUCGGAUUCGUGAGGCCAUGUCAUAAAUGAAACUGCAUAUUACUUAAUUGAUUGGAAAUACUACGGGAAGACGGCCAAUAUGGGCACUUGCACGGGGACGAACGCGACCAAAAUCUAAACAUCAGUAAACAAAAACGAUAAAAAAUAGGCCAUGUUUGUGAUUUUAAAACUUUCGGAUUUUUGUUAUGUAAGUCAGUGAAAAAGCUCAUAGGUUUCCGUAGCAACAUCAACAAAAUAGGAAGUUUUCCUAUUGUAAAAUCAGUGAUAGUCAUAUAAGAGCCAGCUCGUCGCCUAGAUACCACUUUAACAACUUUAUUUUCAAUAUAGGAAUUGUUUAAGCACAAUAGACAGAGGUAAUAAUUCACCAGGUCUACAGCGUAUUCGUUUCCGCCAUCGUAUUGUAUGGGUUUUGCAUAUUGGAGGAACUAUAGCCGAAUAAAAGCCAGGUGCCGGUGUUCUCAUGGUGCGGGAUUGCGUGACUCGAAACCACAAUAAGCUCAUUUUAAAGUUCAAAUAGUCAGCUGCCAUACGUUUUUGACAGACAGCAUUAUACUCAAAUAUACGGUUAAACAUUAAGCA